rfam:Paenibacillus sp. TI45-13ar contig00057, whole genome shotgun sequence.
CCGUGCUAGAUGGGGAGGUAGCGGUGCCCUGUAACUCGCAAUCCGCUGUAGCGAGGUUGAAUUCCUGUUUUAGGUUUUGUCGAUGUGAGGCUGGUAUCUGAAUACGGUGUUGACGGCUGGGUCCUUCGCAAAGGACUGCUGUGAAUCUGGUCAGGUUCGGAAGAAAGCAGCCAUAAGCAGUUUUGUUCUUGUGCCGAAGGAGUGCCUAUCCUGAGUCGUGGUUCAGAAAAACCGCUUGGAUCGCAAUAAUCGAUAACAGGUGCACGG